AAUGAACGCUGGCGGCAGGCCUAACACAUGCAAGUCGAGCGAGCGGCGGCCGGGUGAGUAAUGUAUUGGGACUGCCCGAUAGAGGGGGAUAACUACUGGAAACGGUGGCUACUACUGCAUAAUAUCGGUUAACCCAUAUGGGAUUAGCUAGUGGGUGGGGUAAAGGCUUACCUAGGCGACGAUCUCUAGCUGGUCUCAGAGGCUGAUCAGCCACACGGGGACUGAGACACGGCCCAGGCUACUACGGAGGCAGAGGUGGGGAAUAUUGCGUAAUGGGGGCAACCCUGACCCGGCAAUGCCGCGUGAAUGAAGAAGGCCUUCGGGUUGUAAAGUUCUUUCGGUAGCGAGGCGUUAACUACAGAAGAAGCACCGGCUAACUCCGUGCCAGCCGCCGCGGUAAUUC
rnacentral:rRNA from 1 species